GGUCAUAUGAUAUUCAAACACUGGUUCCUGUAUGAGCAUUGAAGUUAAGCAACAUUGAGCCUGGUCUGUACCUAAAUGGGUGACUGAUUGGGAAUACCAGGUGCUGCAGU